rnacentral:tRNA from 1 species
GUAGUUGUGGCCGAGUGGUGAAGGCGAUGGACUAGAAAUCCACUGGGGCUUCCUUGGGAAGGUUUGAGUCUCUGCCAACUACA